ACAUCCCAUUAUGUUGUGGUGUUCUAAGAAGGAUCCACUAUGAGAGAAUUUCAUUCUCUUCCAAAUAUGUCAGAAACUCACUAGUGAGAUAUUCACCUCUUCGGUCUGACCGAAGGGUCUUAAUACUCUUCUCAGUUUAUUUCUCUACUUUAGUACGGAAUCAUUUGAACAUUUUAAAUGAUUUUGAUUUAUACUUCAUAAGAUAGACAUACCCAUACCUC
rnacentral:lncRNA from 1 species